AGGAGGCAGCAGUGAGGAAUAUUGGACAAUGGGCGCAAGCCUGAUCCAGCAAUGCCGCGUGAGUGAUGAAGGCCUUCGGGUCGUAAAGCUCUUUUACCAGGGAUGAUAAUGACAGUACCUGGAGAAUAAGCUCCGGCUAACUCCGUGCCAGCAGCCGCGGUAAUACGGAGGGAGCUAGCGUUGUUCGGAAUUACUGGGCGUAAAGCGCGCGUAGGCGGUCUACCAAGUCAGGGGUGAAAUCCCGGGGCUCAACCCCGGAACUGCCCUUGAAACUAUUAGACUAGAAUCUUGGAGAGGUCAGUGGAAUUCCGAGUGUAGAGGUGAAAUUCGUAGAUAUUCGGAAGAACACCAGUGGCGAAGGCGACUGACUGGACAAGUAUUGACGCUGAGGUGCGAAAGCGUGGGUAGCAAACAGGAUUAGAUACCCCUGUAGUCCC
rnacentral:rRNA from 1 species